rnacentral:rRNA from 1 species
CCCCCCUCAAGAUGAGAUUUCCCAACUUCGGUUAUAAGAUCCCUCAAAGAUGAUGAGGUUAAUAGGUUCGAGGUGGAAGCAUGGUGACAUGUGGAGCUGACGAAUACUAAUCGAUCGAAGACUUAAUCAA